CAGGAUGAACGCUAGCGGCAGGCCUAACACAUGCAAGUCGAGGGGUAACAGGGAGCUUGCUCCGCUGACGACCGGCGCACGGGUGCGCAACGCGUAUGCAAUCUACCUCUUACUAAGGGAUAGCCCAGAGAAAUUUGGAUUAAUAUCUUAUGUGAUAUGUGACUGGCAUCGGUUACAUAUUAAAGGUUACGGUAAGAGAUGAGCAUGCGUCUCAUUAGUUAGUUGGUAAGGUAACGGCUUACCAAGACUUCGAUGAGUAGGGGUCCUGAGAGGGAGAUCCCCCACACUGGUACUGAGACACGGACCAGACUCCUACGGGAGGCAGCAGUGAGGAAUAUUGGACAAUGGACGGAAGUCUGAUCCAGCCAUGCCGCGUGUAGGAAGACUGCCCUAUGGGUUGUAAACUACUUUUAUACAGGAAGAAUAAGAUCUACGUGUAGAUUGAUGACGGUACUGUAAGAAUAAGGACCGGCUAACUCCGUGCCAGCAGCCGCGGUAAUACGGAGGGUCCGAGCGUUAUCCGGAAUUAUUGGGUUUAAAGGGUCCGUAGGCGGGCUGUUAAGUCAGAGGUGAAAUGCUGCGGCUCAACCGUAUGCACUGCCUUUGAUACUGGCGGUCUUGAGUUAUAGUGAAGUGGCUAGAAUAAGUAGUGUAGCGGUGAAAUGCAUAGAUAUUACUUAGAAUACCGAUUGCGAAGGCAGGUCACUAACUAUACACUGACGCUGAUGGACGAAAGCGUGGGUAGCGAACAGGAUUAGAUACCCUGGUAGUCCACGCCGUAAACGAUGGAUACUAGCUGUUCGGUUUUCGGACUGAGCGGCCAAGCGAAAG
rnacentral:rRNA from 1 species